GCUGGGGUACACGAGUGGCGAACGGGUGAGUAACACGUGGGUGACCUGCCCUGCACUUCGGGAUAAGCCUGGGAAACUGGGUCUAAUACCGGAUAGGACCGCACCGUGAGGGUGUGGUGGAAAGUUUUUUCGGUGUGGGAUGGGCCCGCGGCCUAUCAGCUUGUUGGUGGGGUAAUGGCCUACCAAGGCGGCGACGGGUAGCCGGCCUGAGAGGGUGGACGGCCACAUUGGGACUGAGACACGGCCCAGACUCCUACGGGAGGCAGCAGUGGGGAAUAUUGCACAAUGGGCGGAAGCCUGAUGCAGCGACGCCGCGUGGGGGAUGACGGCCUUCGGGUUGUAAACUCCUUUCACCAUCGACGAAGGGUUUCUGACGGUAGAUGGAGAAGAAGCACCGGCUAACUACGUGCCAGCAGCCGCGGUAAUACGUAGGGUGCGAGCGUUGUCCGGAAUUACUGGGCGUAAAGAGCUCGUAGGUGGUUUGUCGCGUCGUCUGUGAAAUUCCGGGGCUUAACUCCGGGCGUGCAGGCGAUACGGGCAUAACUUGAGUACUGUAGGGGAGACUGGAAUUCCUGGUGUAGCGGUGAAAUGCGCAGAUAUCAGGAGGAACACCGGUGGCGAAGGCGGGUCUCUGGGCAGUAACUGACGCUGAGGAGCGAAAGCAUGGGGAGCGAACAGGAUUAGAUANCCCUGGUAGUCCAUGCCGUAAACGGUGGGCGCUAGGUGUGGGUUUCCUUCCACGGGAUCCGUGCCGUAG
rnacentral:rRNA from 1 species